GUACACUCCUACGGGAGGCAGCAGUGGGGAAUUUUGGACAAUGGGCGAAAGCCUGAUCCAGCAAUGCCGCGUGUGUGAAGAAGGCCUUCGGGUUGUAAAGCACUUUUGUCCGGAAAGAAAUCCUUGGCUCUAAUACAGUCGGGGGAUGACGGUACCGGAAGAAUAAGCACCGGCUAACUACGUGCCAGCAGCCGCGGUAAUACGUAGGGUGCGAGCGUUAAUCGGAAUUACUGGGCGUAAAGCGUGCGCAGGCGGUUUGCUAAGACCGAUGUGAAAUCCCCGGGCUCAACCUGGGAACUGCAUUGGUGACUGGCAGGCUAGAGUAUGGCAGAGGGGGGUAGAAUUCCACGUGUAGCAGUGAAAUGCGUAGAGAUGUGGAGGAAUACCGAUGGCGAAGGCAGCCCCCUGGGCCAAUACUGACGCUCAUGCACGAAAGCGUGGGGAGCAAACAGGAUUAGAAACCCUUGUAGUCCCAUGA
rnacentral:rRNA from 1 species